rnacentral:rRNA from 1 species
GUGGGGAAUAUUGGGCAAUGGGCGAAAGCCUGACCCAGCAACGCCGCGUGAGGGAAGAAGGCUUUCGGGUUGUAAACCUCUGUCGCAGGGGACGAAAGAAAUGACGGUACCCUGUGAGGAAGCCCCGGCUAACUACGUGCCAGCAGCCGCGGUAAUACGUAGGGGGCGAGCGUUGUCCGGAAUUACUGGGCGUAAAGGGUGCGUAGGCGGCGAAUUAAGUUGGAUGUGAAAUCCCCGGGCUUAACCUGGGUGGUGCAUCCAAAACUGAUUAGCUAGAGUGCAGGAGAGGGAAGCGGAAUUCCUAGUGUAGCGGUGAAAUGCGUAGAUAUUAGGAGGAACACCAGUGGCGAAGGCGGCUCACUGGCUCGAUACUGACGCUGAGGUGCGAAAGCGUGGGGAGCAAACAGGAUUAGAAACCCUGGUAGUCC